rnacentral:rRNA from 1 species
UACGGAGGGUGCAAGCGUUGUUCGGAAUUACUGGGCGUAAAGCGCGUGUAGGCGGCCCUGCAAGUCAGAUGUGAAAGCCCUCGGCUUAACCGGGGAAGCGCAUCUGAAACUGCUUGGCUUGAGUACCGGAGAGGGAGGCGGAAUUCCCAGUGUAGAGGUGAAAUUCGUAGAUAUUGGGAGGAACACCGGUGGCGAAAGCGGCCUCCUGGACGGAUACUGACGCUGAGACGCGAAAGCGUGGGUAG